rnacentral:RNase_P_RNA from 1 species
GGAGUCGGCCAGACGGUCGCGGCGCCGCGGUGCGGUGUCGAGGAAAGUCCGGACUCCACAGGGCAGGGUGGUCGGUAACACCGACCCGGGGAGACCCGCGGGACAGUGCCACAGAAAACAGACCGCCGCUCUUCGGAGCGGUAAGGGUGAAACGGUGGUGUAAGAGACCACCAGCGGCCGGAGCGAUCCGGCCGGCUCGGUAAACCCCACCCGGAGCAAGGCCAAGAGGGGGACCCCGGUCCCCUGCGCGGACGUUCGAGGGCUGCCCGUCCGAUGUCCGCGGGUAGGCCGCACGAGGCCGUUGGCAACAGCGGUCCCAGAUGGAUGGCCGUCCGGCCCGCACGGGCCGACAGAAUCCGGCUUACCGGCCGACUCCCCCC